UGAACCUGGGAGGCGGGGGUUGCAAUGAGCUGAGAUUGUGUAACUGUACUCCAGCCUGGGUGACAGAGCAACACUCUCUCUUAAAAAAAAAAAAAGAAUCAAUCAUUGGCUAGAUGGAUCCUGGUCAGUCAGUCCUUCAGGGGGAUGGGGGAGAGAUCUUGGGAGAGACCCCAGAGAUUAGUGGUGGGGCUGGGCCUGUGGGGGUGGGACAGUGGUUCUAUACUAACUGAAGGUAUUUUCAUAUUUUCUCAGGUGGUGUGCCUGAAUCACAGUGCACCUGUUGAGAAUUGGCUGUGGAUUUAGGGGUGGCUUUGUCCCCUAAUCAGCAGUGGAACAGAUCCUGUUGCCAAGAUGAGACCUGACUUCACAGACUUCCAGAGAGCUAAUUAUACUUGUGAGAAAAAGGAGAUAAAAAAUAUUCAUAUUCAAUUGUGGCUGACACUCCCUGCUUAGGGUAAGACACGGGAAACCAGCUUCUCAGUUGGUUGUGACAUAAAAUAAAUACUGUUACAGGCACAGUCCUGCCUUCUGCUAAGCUGCAGAUGCCUCAAACCUUGAAGCCAACCCCUCUUUAGAACACAGUCUUUGGAAGUUCUUGAGGUUAGAACAGCAGUCUUCAACCUUUGUGGCAGCAGGGACCAGUUUUGUGGAAGACAGUUUUUCCAUGGACCAGGGGCAGGGGGAUGGUUUUGGGAUGAUUCAGGGGCAUUACAUUUAUCAUACACUUUAUUUCCAUUAUUAUUACAUUGUAAUAUCUACUGAUAAUUCUACAAGCCCUGAGCUUGUUUUCCUGCAACUAGAUGGUCCCGCCUGGGGGUGAUGGGGGACAGUGAUGGAUCAUCAGGCAUUAGAUCCUCAUAAGGAGCAUGCAAUCUAGAUCCCUGUCUGUCGCAGUUCACAAUAGGGCUUGUGUUCUAGUGAGAAUCUAAUGUUACUGCUGAUUGAAUGGGAGGUGGAGCUCAGGCAGCAAUGCGAGUGAUAGGGGGGCAUCUGUAAAUACAAAUGCACCUUUGCUUGGUUGCCAGCUGCUCACCUCCUGUUUUGUGGCCCAGUUCCUAACAGGCCACAGACUGGUACUGGGCCACAGCCUGGUGGCUGGGGACCCCUGGUUUAGAAGGUAAGGUUUUUGGGGCCAGGUGCGGUGGCUCAUGCCUGUAAUUUCAGCACUUUGGGAGGCCAGAGCAGGUGGAUCACUUAGGUCAGGAGUUUGAGACCAGCCUGGCCAACAUGGUGAAACCUCGUCUCUAGUAAAAUUACAAAAAUUAGCCAGGCAUGAUGGUGGGCACCUGUAAUCCCAGCUACGCAGGAGGCUGGGGCAGGAGAAUCACUUGAACCUGGGAGGUGAAGGUUGCAGUGAGUCAAGAUUGCACCACUGUACUCCAGCCUGGGUGACAGAGCGAGACUCUGUCUCAAAAAUAAAAUAAAAUGUUUGUUGUCUGGGCACAGUGGCUCAUGCCUGUACUCCAAGCUACUUGGGAGGCUGAAGCAGGAGGUUCACUUGAGGCCAGGAGUUCCAGGCUCCUGGGAGAUGGCACACUUCCAGGCUCUAGUGGGCCAUGAUGGCAUCACUGUACUCCAGCCUAGGUGAAACAGCAAGACCCUAUUAAAAAAAAAAAAAAAAAAGUUUGUUGGGUGAAUGAAUGGAUAAGUGGAAGGAAAGGAGCGUAGGCUUUGAUUAGAUUCAUGGAGUUCAAAUCCUAACUGUGUCAUUCAGGAGCUAUGAGACCUUGGGCGAGUUACAUCAUCUGAGUUUCUCUUCUCUCAUAUUUUAGUGGGGGUAACAGUAUCUACCUUUCUACCUUGUUGUGAGGUUUUGUUGCAAUAACAAGGAUAAUAAUAAGGAUUAUAGUCCGGGCACAGUGGCUCACACCUGUAAUCCUAGCACUUUGGGAUGCCCAAGUCACACUAAUG